GGAAUAUUGCGCAAUGGGGGAAACCCUGACGCAGCAACGCCGCGUGCGGGAUGACGGCCUUCGGGUUGUAAACCGCUUUCAGCAGGGAAGAACAUCGACGGUACCUGCAGAAGAAGCCCCGGCUAACUACGUGCCAGCAGCCGCGGUAAUACGUAGGGGGCGAGCGUUAUCCGGAUUCAUUGGGUUUAAAGGGUGCGCAGGCGGGCCUUUAAGCCGGCGGUGAAAUCGCGGGGCUCAACCCCGCCGAGCCGUCGGAACUGGGGGCCUUGAGUGCGGCGGAGGCAUGCGGAAUGCGCGGUGUAGCGGUGAAAUGCAUAGAUAUCGCGCAGAACCCCGAUUGCGAAGGCAGCGUGCCGUGCCGCCACUGACGCUGAGGCACGAAAGCGCGGGGAUCGAACAG
rnacentral:rRNA from 1 species